AUGGCAUUACUGUUUCCUUCCUGGAAAGAACAUAUGGUGAGUUAGAUGGAGAUAAGACCACGCAAACUUGAGAUCCUCUUUUGAAUGGCUUCUUUUGCAAGCAGACAGAAUGGUGGAGAAUUCCUGUGCUUACAUCUUUCUUUCCAAAAUCCUGUUAGAUGGCCAACUCAGAUGGCUUUUGUAAACCUGGACUAGUGCCUUCAUUUAGACUGUCUAGGCUUUAUGGCCCUAAAUGUGCCACCAGCUCCUUCAUCAGCUGGUUUUCCGGGCUUCCUUGUAAAAAGGACCUAACCACUGAAUCAGCCUGAAUAUGUAUUAAGAUGAGUCAGGCUGAAGAAAUAUGAAUGCUGCCUUUGAAAACUGUAAUAUGAUCUUCAUCUGCCAACAUACCACAAUAUUAGGAGCUUAACAUCACGGUGAAGGACACGAGAAACAAGGAUUAUAUGGAUUUAAAGAUGUUGAGUUCAUCUAGAUAGAAAAACUCCAUGCAGCUCUACAGGUUGGAGGCCAAUGCAACUUUGAAAAAAAAAAGAGACCUGUGGGUCCUAGUGGACAACAAACUGGACAGGAAUCAGCAGUGUGCUCUUGCAAAAAAAGAAGAUUAAACACAUACUGGGUUGUAUUGG